CUAACUUAGACAUGGCCGACGCGGGUCAAAGUGAAGUUUUGUUCCUGCAGCUUAAUAUACCUGAUACGGGUUGUAUUUGGACCCAAUAUAUUAAACUUAUUUUUGCAAGUUGGCGGAGUGCUUGAAGCCUGCUUCACCUCCGCCGCGGGUCGGCCCGUUAUUCCACUAUUUUCGGUAUCGGCCCACGGUUU